GAUGAACGCUGGCGGCGUGCCUAAUACAUGCAAGUCGAGCGAACAGACGAGGAGCUUGCUCCUCUGACGUUAGCGGCGGACGGGUGAGUAACACGUGGAUAACCUACCUAUAAGACUGGGAUAACUUCGGGAAACCGGAGCUAAUACCGGAUAAUAUAUUGAACCGCAUGGUUCAAUAGUGAAAGACGGUUUUGCUGUCACUUAUAGAUGGAUCCGCGCCGCAUUAGCUAGUUGGUAAGGUAACGGCUUACCAAGGCAACGAUGCGUAGCCGACCUGAGAGGGUGAUCGGCCACACUGGAACUGAGACACGGUCCAGACUCCUACGGGAGGCAGCAGUAGGGAAUCUUCCGCGAUGGGCGAAAGCCUGACGGAGCAACGCCGCGUGAGUGAUGAAGGUCUUCGGAUCGUAAAACUCUGUUGUUAGGGAAGAACAAAUGUGUAAGUAACUAUGCACGUCUUGACGGUACCUAAUCAGAAAGCCACGGCUAACUACGUG
rnacentral:rRNA from 1 species